rnacentral:rRNA from 1 species
GACGAACGCUGGCGGCGUGCUUAACACAUGCAAGUCGAACGGUGAAGCGCCUUCCUUUUUGGUGGGUGUGGAUGAGUGGCGAACGGGUGAGUAACACGUGAGUAACCUGCCCCCUUCUUCUGGAUAACCGCAUGAAAGUGUGGCUAAUACGGGAUAUUCUGGGUCUGUCGCAUGAUGGGUCUGGGAAAGAUAUUGUUUCGGUGGGGGAUGGGCUCGCGGCAUAUCAGCUUGUUGGUGGGGUGAUGGCCUACCAAGGCGGUGACGGGUAGCCGGCCUGAGAGGGUGGACGGUCACACUGGGACUGAGACACGGCCCAGACUCCUACGGGAGGCAGCAGUGGGGAAUAUUGCACAAUGGGCGCAAGCCUGAUGCAGCGACGCCGCGUGAGGGAUGGAGGCCCUCGGGUUGUGAACCUCUUUCGCCAGUGAAGCAGGCCUGCCUCGUUUGUGGGUGGGUUGACGGUAGCUGGAUAAGAAGCGCCGGCUAACUACGUG